UCAAGAACCUUCCACAAUGGACGAAAGUCUGAUGGAGCGACGCCGCGUGAUUGAUGAAGUCCUUCGGGACGUAAAGAUCUUUUAUGAGGGAAGAAUUUUAUUGACGGUACCUCAUGAAUAAGGGGUUGCUAAACUCGUGCCAGCAGCAGCGGUAAUACGAGUACCCCGAGUGUUAUCCGGAAUUAUUGGGCGUAAAGGGUGCGAAGGUGGUUGUGUUAGUCGUAUGUUAAAACUCCGAGCUCAACUUGGAAUCGGCGUACGAAACGGCACGACUAGAGGAUGUGAGAGGUGUACAGAACUCAUGGUGUAGGGGUGAAAUCCGUUGAUAUCAUGGGGAAUACCAAAAGCGAAGGCAGUACACUGGCGCAUACCUGACACUCCAGCACGAAAGCGUGGGUAGCGAAUGGGAUUAGAUACCCCUGUAGUCC
rnacentral:rRNA from 1 species